GUGAAUCAUCAAAUCUUUGAACGCACAUUGCGCUUGCUGGCAUCCCGGGAAGUAUGCCUGUUUGAGGGUCAGUAUUAAUAUAAAAUCGGUUCAGUUACAAAUUGUGACGUCUCCGGCGUCUGGGCUAUCUUAACAGUUUUGGUUAAGAGGCCUAAAAUUGACCUUUUUUGCGCAUCUUUAAACGUACAUAAAUUUUUUUUAUUCGUCUAUUCUUAAUGCCAAAAUCUAAUUAGA
rnacentral:misc_RNA from 1 species